rnacentral:rRNA from 1 species
GUAAUCAUAUGCUUGUCUCAAAGAUUAAGCCAUGCAUGUCUAAGUACAUGCCGAAAUAAGGCGAAACCGCGAAUGGCUCAUUAAAUCAGUUAUGGUUCCUUAGAUCGUUUCUUCCUACUUGGAUAACUGUGGCAAUUCUAGAGCUAAUACAUGCAGUGAGCCUGAAGCCCUUUGGGCGACGGGUGCUUUUAUUAGACCAAGAUCGAUCGGGUUUCGGCCCGUAUUGUGUGGUGACUCUGGAUAACUUUGUGCUGAUCGCAUGGCCACGAGCCGGCGACGUUUCUUUCAAGUGUCUGCCUUAUCAACUUUCGAUGGUAGGUUACUUGCUUACCAUGGUUGUUACGGGUAACGGAGAAUCAGGGUUCGAUUCCGGAGAGGGAGCCUGAGAAACGGCUACCACAUCCAAGGAAGGCAGCAGGCGCGCAAAUUACCCACUCCCGGCACGGGGAGGUAGUGACGAAAAAUAACAAUACGGGACUCUUUUGAGGCCCCGUAAUUGAAAUGAGUACACUCUAAAUCCUUUAACGAGGAUCAAUUGGAGGGCAAGUCUGGUGCCAGCAGCCGCGGUAAUUCCAGCUCCAAUAGCGUAUACUAAAGCUGCUGCGGUUAAAAAGCUCGUAGUUGGAUCUCAGUUCCAGACGAGUAGUGCAUCUACCCGAUGCGACGGCUCGGACUGAACAUCAUGCCGGUCCUUUCUUGGUGCACUUCAUUGUGUGCCUCGAGAAGGCCGGUGCUUUUACUUUGAAAAAAUUAGAGUGCUCAACGCAGGCGAGUCGCCUGAAUAAACUUGCAUGGAAUAAUAGAACAAGACCUCGUUUCUGUUCUGUUGGUUUUUGGAAUACGAGGUAAUGAUUAAGAGGGACAGACGGGGGCAUUCGUAUUGCGGCGCUAGAGGUGAAAUUCUUGGACCGUCGCAAGACGAACUACUGCGAAAGCAUUUGCCAAGAAUGUUUUCUUUGAUCAAGAACGAAAGUCAGAGGUUCGAAGGCGAUCAGAUACCGCCCUAGUUCUGACCAUAAACGAUGCCAACCAGCGAUCCGCCUGAGUUACUCAAAUGACUCGGCGGGCAGCUUCCGGGAAACCAAAGUGUUUGGGUUCCGGGGGAAGUAUGGUUGCAAAGCUGAAACUUAAAGGAAUUGACGGAAGGGCACCACCAGGAGUGGAGCCUGCGGCUUAAUUUGACUCAACACGGGAAAACUUACCCGGCCCGGACACUGGGAGGAUUGACAGAUUGAGAGCUCUUUCUUGAUUCGGUGGAUGGUGGUGCAUGGCCGUUCUUAGUUGGUGGAGCGAUUUGUCUGGUUAAUUCCGAUAACGAACGAGACUCUAGCCUAUUAAAUAGGUGCGGGGUUCCCAGCACCUUACAACCUUCUUAGAGGGACAAGCGGCUCCUAGCCGCACGAAACAGAGCAAUAACAGGUCUGUGAUGCCCUUAGAUGUCCGGGGCCGCACGCGCGCUACACUGAAGGAAGCAGCGUGUCUUUAUCCCUGUCUGAAAAGACUGGGUAACCCGUGGAACUUCUUUCGUGAUUGGGAUAGGGGCUUGCAAUUGUUCCCCUUGAACGAGGAAUUCCCAGUAAGCGCGAGUCAUAAGCUCGCGUUGAUUACGUCCCUGCCCUUUGUACACACCGCCCGUCGCUACUACCGAUUGAAUGAUUUAGUGAGGUCUUCGGACCGAUGUCCGGCGCGGCCUUUCGGUUGCGCCGGUCUGUUGGAAAGAUGACCAAACUUGAUCAUUUAGAGGAAGUAAAAGUCGUAACAAGGUUUCCGU